GACACAAGAGGAUCGCCAGUUCAUGUCAAACCAUCCUCCGUGAAUGAGUUCAACUCCCGAAAGCUGUUAGAAGGCAAAACGUGCACAGUUUAAAGCUGAAAUCAAACGAGAUACAUUGUGUUUUUGAACUGCAAGCUAAUUUCACGGAUUUUCAAAGAUUGAGGACACUUAGGAAGCACACUUAUUAUACACAUUGCUCAAAUACCGGCGUUUGUCAUAAAAAUAUUCUAAGCUCAGAGGUCAAGAUUACAAGGUAAGAUAUAUAACUUAUUACAUGCUUGUAAAUUUACCGAAACAUUUUUAGCCCAAUUUUAAUAUAUAUUUUAUGAGGAUUGCUGAUUUGCACGCUAGUCUAAUGAAAUAGCCGUGUAUAUAUUACGGUAUAUACCGACAAGUUUUUGAAUUGGUCUUCCCAUGUCAUAUCUGCAAACCGGUGUAUAUAUUAAUAUAUAUACUUAAGUUACUGCAAGGGCAUAUCACUACUGUGGUAUCUUAGGGUAUUAAUACAGUAACAUAUUAUAGCAAUGGGGAAAAUAUUUGUGCAGAAAAAGGCUUUAUAUAGUUUUAUUCAGCUUGUAUAAUGUGUGUGAGUAUACUAUAGUCUGUAUAGACGAUAUACUAUAAACCAUAUACUCAGGUUAUAGAUAUAUGGAAAGGAAAAAUUAAACCUGCAAAUCCAAUUUUGCUAGGUAUAGUACAGUAAAUUUAUAGGUAAAUAUAUAUAUUUGUACUUUUUAAUGCACAGAAAUGUCGUUCAUAUUUUGAUCAUUGAUCGGUAUAUACUGCAAUCUGUAAUCUGUAUGCCAAUGAUCAUUGACAAUGAAUAUGUAUAUGCAGGCUUAAAUUUAAAUUAAACCGUUUUAAUUUUGAUGUACAGUAUACAAUUAAAUUUAACGUAGUCUUGGGUUAUAUCUGCAUGUAUACUUUGAAUGUCCAGAACGUCUAUAGUUUGCCCAGCACGAUUCUAUUUGCCACUUUAAUUUUUUCUUGUGCACACAAUCUUCAUCGAUGCCCUCAGACAUAUGCGAAAUAUGGCAUGAAGAUUGAAUGCUGAGUGUGACAUAGACUUGAUCCAAUUUUUUAAUGUACGGUAACAUCAUAGCAAUGCGCUAGGCCUAUCUGUAAUGUUUAGAGAAUGCCGGUUUUCAUGUUUUACUGAGGUCUUGUAAAAUGUACCACGAAUUUGGGCUUGUACUAUGUCUAUGUAUCAUACACAAUAUAUAUGUCUUGUUGUAUAUAUAGGUUAACUGGAAUGCUAAAUAUUUUAAAUCAUAUAUACUGGUUUAAAAAAAGCUCGUUUUAAAAGCCAAGGUCAGACAAGAAUGAGAUUUGCCGGUCAUGCAUUGUUACAGGGGACAUUUCAAGCUCUAGAUUAACAAAAUAAAUGUUUGAUGAGCGUUCCAACUAUGUCAGUUUUACUCUUGAAUAGAAUACAUGAUAGUGUCAGGGAAAGCAUUAAGGAUUUAAGAACAGCUAACCAAGACCGCAAGACUCGGCCAACUUUAUUA